AAACUAGGAUUAGAUACCCAAGUAAAAAAAUUUUUUAGUAAUAAACUUAUAAAGUUAAACUAGAAAUUUUUGGCGGUAAAAUAUUAUAGUUAAAGGGUCUUGAUUAUUUAUAGAAAAUACACAUUAAAAAAAACUUAAGAUUUUUAAUUUAUUUAUCUCCGUAAAAUAAAAUAUUAAUUUUAAUUAAAAAAAAAUUUUAAAGAUUACAGGUCAAGAUAUAAUUAAAAUCAAAGUUUAAUUUAGACACAAAAAAAAAAUAUUUUAAAAAAGAAUUUAAUAGUAAUAAAUAGAAUUAUAAAAAUGAUUAUGAAAUAAUUAUUUUAUGUACAUAUUGCCCAUCACUUUCAUUUUUAAAAUGAAAUAAGUCGUAACAUAGUA
rnacentral:rRNA from 1 species